GCUUACGGCCAUACUACCCUGAGCAAGCCAGAUCUCGUCUGAUCUCGAAAGCUAAGCAGAGUCGGGCCUGAUUAGUACUUGGAUGGGAGACCGCCUGGGAAUACCAGGUAAUCUAAGCU
ensembl:rRNA 5S_rRNA 5S ribosomal RNA